AUGCCAUCGUGUUUCCUCAAGUCUGCAAAGGUAGAGACAGGGCAGAAGACGGCGUUGGCGAAUCCAAAGCUCACUUUGGUUCACAACGGCAGGUUGGAGAAUGAGCAAGUAAAGCGUCCAAGCUCUGGCUAUGAAGUGAGGACUAUCACUAUGACCUACAAAAGGAAGAGAAGGUGGCCAGCCAACAGUACGUUAGCGCAUAAGCCAAUGUUGAUUGACAGCGGCAGUAGCAGCGAUGCCAAGAGUGACAAGGGUGAUGACUAUGAGCCGCCGACAAAGAGUGGGAGGCCAGCAAGUCUCAAAACCGCCAAGAGCAAGAGAGGGAGGCCACCGGGUUCGAAAUCAGCCAAGAACAAAGAAGAUGGCAUUGGAUCUUCAGAACCAGGGACCGACUUCAACGUUGUAAAAAGCUUCAGAAGCUUCAAGGUCAUUGUCGGCGGUUCUGCCAUCGAUGACAAACAACUCCCCACCGAGACACGUAGGGCGUACCACGGGCUCUGCCACGACCGCAAGUCUCUCCUCCAUGGGCGUCUGCAGAAGAACCUCGAACCUUUGCUUGCUGCAGGAGUGAUCAUCGAGACGGUUCGCAUAGCCAAGGGCAUCAGGGCCUCCGCCGCCUCUCCUUCCCGCGAGGACCUCACACGAUGGAAGAAGGACCUGGAGUCCUUUGAGAUGAUGGGCAUGGACGUUGGCUUCAUGCGCGAGCGCGUCAACAGCCUCCUGACCCUUCUCAAGAAAGCAGAUCACCUGCACGAGGGGUACGAUGCGGCAAAGCUGGAGCGGGCUCGCGCCACAGAGGGGUUGAGGGCACUCGAGUCAAAGCUGUCGAGCAUCAAGAACGCUCUGAAGGAGAUAGACGUGGAGUUGCAGGAGAUGGCUUCAUAG
rnacentral:rRNA from 1 species